GAUGAACGCUGGCGGCGUGCCUAAUACAUGCAAGUCGAGCGAACAGACGAGGAGCUUGCUCCUCUGACGUUAGCGGCGGACGGGUGAGUAACACGUGGAUAACCUACCUAUAAGACUGGGAUAACUUCGGGAAACCGGAGCUAAUACCGGAUAACAUGUUGAACCGCAUGGUUCAACAGUGAAAGACGGUCUUGCUGUCACUUAUAGAUGGAUCCGCGCCGCAUUAGCUAGUUGGUAAGGUAACGGCUUACCAAGGCAACGAUGCGUAGCCGACCUGAGAGGGUGAUCGGCCACACUGGAACUGAGACACGGUCCAGACUCCUACGGGAGGCAGCAGUAGGGAAUCUUCCGAAAUGGGCGAAAGCCUGACGGAGCAACGCCGCGUGAGUGAAGGAGGUCUUCGGAUCGUAAAACUCUGUUAUUAGGGAAGAACAAAUGUGUAAGUAACUAUGCACGUCUUGACGGUACCUAAUCAGAAAGCCACGGCUAACUACGUG
rnacentral:rRNA from 1 species